rnacentral:tRNA from 1 species
UCCAGGGUAGCCUAGUGGACAUGGCAUCUGCCCGGUAAGCGGAACGUUGUGAGUUCGAUUCAGGCCCCUGGAC